AUACGCCUCACAGGCAGGUCUUCUCUAAGUGAAAAGCGAAAGGCCUCCUGCUCCACCAACUGCAUGUCUGUUGAGGUACCAUGAUGAAAAUAUAUGGAAACUUUGUGUACUUUUCCUGGUUAUUAACUCUUUUAGAAGUCUA